UACGUAGGGCGCAAGCGUUGUCCGGAAUUAUUGGGCGUAAAGAGCUCGUAGGUGGCGUGUCGCGUCUGCCGUGAAAGCCCAUGGCUUAACUGUGGGUCUGCGGUGGAUACGGGCAGGCUGGAGGCUGGUAGGGGCAAGCGGAAUUCCUGGUGUAGCGGUGAAAUGCGCAGAUAUCAGGAGGAACACCGGUGGCGAAGGCGGCUUGCUGGGCCAGUUCUGACGCUGAGGAGCGCAAGCGUGGGGAGCGAACAGG
rnacentral:rRNA from 1 species